AACGAACGCUGGCGGCAGGCCUAACACAUGCAAGUCGAGCGCGCCUUCGGGUGAGCGGCGGACGGGUUAGUAACGCGUGGGAACGUACCCUUUUGUUGAGGAUAGCCCCGGGAAACUGGGAGUAAUACUCGAUACGCCCUUUGGGGGAAGGAAGGAUCGGCCCGCGUUAGAUUAGGUAGUUGGUGAGGUAACGGCUCACCAAGCCUACGAUCUAUAGCUGGUUUGAGAGGAUGAUCAGCAACACUGGGACUGAGACACGGCCCAGACUCCUACGGGAGGCAGCAGUGGGGAAUCUUGGACAAUGGGCGCAAGCCUGAUCCAGCCAUGCCGCGUGAGUGAUGAAGGCCUUAGGGUCGUAAAGCUCUUUCGCUAGGGAAGAUAAUGACGGUACCUAGUAAAGAAACCCCGGCUAACUCCG
rnacentral:rRNA from 1 species